CCUACGGGUGGCAGCAGUGAGGAAUAUUGGUCAAUGGUCGGGAGACUGAACCAGCCAAGCCGCGUGAGGGAUGAAGGUACAGAGUAUCGUAAACCUCUUUUGUCAGGGAACAAAGGCGGGGACGUGUCCCCGGAUGAGUGUACCUGAAGAAAAAGCAUCGGCUAACUCCGUGCCAGCAGCCGCGGUAAUACGGAGGAGGCGAGCGUUAUCCGGAUUUAUUGGGUUGAAAGGGUGCGCAGGCGGUCUGGUAAGUCAGCGGUAAAAGCCCGGGGCUCAACCCCGGCCCGCCGUUGAAACUGGCAGUCUCGAGUUGGAGAGAAGUAUGCGGAAUGCGCGGUGUAGCGGUGAAAUGCAUAGAUAUCGCGCAGAACUCCGAUUGCGAAGGCAGCAUGCCGGCUCCACACUGACGCUGAGGCACGAAAGCGUGGGUAUCGAACAGGAUUAGAUACCCUAGUAGUG
rnacentral:rRNA from 1 species